CUGAUGCAGCACGCCGCGUGAGUGAGAAGGUUUUCGGAUUGUAAAGCUCUGUCUUUGGGGACGAUAAUGACGGUACCCAAGGAGGAAGCCACGGCUAACUACGUGCCAGCAGCCGCGGUAAUAC
rnacentral:rRNA from 1 species